UACGUAGGGGGCAAGCGUUGUCCGGAAUCAUUGGGCGUAAAGCGCGUGUGAGCGGCUCGCAAAGUCUGGUGUGAAAACUUGAGGCUCAACCUCAAGCUGUCACUGGAUACUGGCGGGCUUGAGUCCGGAAGAGGAGAGUGGAAUUCCUGGUGUAGCGGUGGAAUGCGCAGAUAUCAGGAAGAACACCCGUGGCUAAGGCGGCUCUCUAGUACGGUACUGACGCUGAGACGCGAAAGCGUGGGGAGCGAACAGG
rnacentral:rRNA from 1 species